rnacentral:sRNA from 1 species
UAAUAAUAACGAUGUAACAACCAUGUGAAGAAGAGUGUCAACCUGCAUGGAACGUGGGAAUGAGCGCAAUUCACUUGAAUGAUAGUUCUUGUGUGUUGCGUUGCAUAUUUAGUGAUAGAUAUGCAAAAGAGAGAAACUCUCAAUUCGUACUACGUGUGCAUGAUCUGAAAUAUGUAAAGGAACUGUCCUUGUCGUCCUCACAAUAGAAAGUCACAGAAAAUUGAUACAAUGUGACCUCUCCUAAAUGUUAUGCGUAGGGAUAUGUCGUAACCGCUUUAGGAAAUAUCCAACAAGAGGAUUGCGUGUGAUGUGUAGAAAUACACUAUAAGACAAGUAACAGGUACAAGUAGCCCAUAGCGCAUGACAGAACGGGGAAUACGAAUGAGCGUAUAAAUUAUUUUUAUUCUACUUCUGAAAGACGGGUGAAAGUUAAAGGUACUAUUCCUUUCGUUGAUUCAAAACGGGUAAGAAGCGUAUAGGUCGCUCCCAUAUGCUCAGACUUAUCUGCAACGUGUCUGAAUAUGCACGAUCAGAAAUCAUGUAUGAGGAAACUCAGUUAUAUUAUUUUAUA